rnacentral:rRNA from 1 species
AUACGUAGGGGGCGAGCGUUGUCCGGAAUGAUUGGGCGUAAAGGGCGCGUAGGCGGCUUUGCAAGUCAGUAGUGGAAGUCCAUUUUUCAAGGAUGGAAGUGCUACAGAAACUGCGGAGCUUGAGUGCAGGAGAGGUUAUCGGAAUUCCCGGUGUAGCGGUGAAAUGCGUAGAGAUCGGGAGGAACACCAGUGGCGAAGGCGGGUAACUGGACUGCAACUGACGCUGAGGCGCAAAAGUGUGGGGAGCAAACAGGAUUAGAUACCCUGGUAAACCACACUGUAAACGAUGAAUGCUAGGUGUAGGAGGUAUCGACCCCUUCUGUGCCGCAGUUAACGCAAUAAGCAAUCCACCUGGGGAGUACGGCCGCAAGGCUAAAACUCAAAUGAAUUGACGGGG